CUACCGUCUAAGUCACCAGGGAAUCCCAAAGUGAAAAAAGUAAAUGGCCUCUUCACUGGAAUCCAUCUUGGCUGAGAGAUGCACUUGCACACGUGGGAGGAUUCUGAGUUAAACCGAACACAGGCUCAGCACCAGACAAAUGGAAAUGAUUAGCCCAAGAAACCCGGAAGAAAUGCCCCACAAGAAUGCUUCAAACUACCAAGCGGGUGCAACUCUCUGAGUCCACCCGUGUAUCCACUCGAACUGUAUGCUUUUCCUGCUAAUAAACGUGUUCUUUGUUUCCUUA